AGUGAACGCUGGCGGCGUGCCUAAUACAUGCAAGUCGAACGGAAUUUAAAAGAGCUUGCUCUUUUAAAUUUAGUGGCGCACGGGUGAGUAAUAUAUAGCUAAUCUGCCCCUUGCUGGAGGACAACAGUUAGAAAUGACUGCUAAUACUCCAUACUCCUUUUUACCAUAAGAUAAAUCGGGAAAGAAUUUCGGCAAGGGAUGAGACUAUAUCGUAUCAGCUAGUCGGUGGGGUAACGGCCUACCGAGGCUAUGACGCGUAACUGGUCUGAGAGGAUGAUCAGUCACAUUGGAACUGAGACACGGUCCAAACUCCUACGGGAGGCAGCAGUAGGGAAUAUUGCGCAAUGGGGGAAACCCUGACGCAGCAACGCCGCGUGGAGGAUGACACUUUUCGGAGCGUAAACUCCUUUUGUUAGG
rnacentral:rRNA from 1 species